rnacentral:rRNA from 1 species
GACGAACGCUGGCGGCGUGCUUAACACAUGCAAGUCGAACGGAAAGGCCCUGCUUUUGUGGGGUGCUCGAGUGGCGAACGGGUGAGUAACACGUGAGUAACCUGCCCUUGACUUCGGGAUAACUUCAGGAAACUGGGGCUAAUACCGGAUAGGAGCUCCUGCUGCAUGGUGGGGGUUGGAAAGUUUCGGCGGUUGGGGAUGGACUCGCGGCUUAUCAGCUUGUUGGUGGGGUAGUGGCUUACCAAGGCUUUGACGGGUAGCCGGCCUGAGAGGGUGACCGGCCACAUUGGGACUGAGAUACGGCCCAGACUCGUACGGGGGGCAGCAGUGGGGAAUAUUGCACAAUGGGCGGAAGCCGGAUGCAGCAACGCCGCGUGCGGGAUGACGGCCUUCGGGUUGUAAACCGCUUUCGCCUGUGACGAAGCGUGAGUGACGGUAAUGGGUAAAGAAGCACCGGCUAACUACGU